GACGAACGCUGGCGGCGUGCUUAACACAUGCAAGUCGAACGGAAAGGCCCUGCUUUUGUGGGGUGCUCGAGUGGCGAACGGGUGAGUAACACGUGAGUAACCUGCCAUUGACUUUGGGAUAACUUCAGGAAACUGGGGCUAAUACCGGAUAGGAGCUCCUGCUGCAUGGUGGGGGUUGGAAAGUUUCGGCGGUUGGGGAUGGACUCGCGGCUUAUCAGCUUGUUGGUGGGGUAGUGGCUUACCAAGGCUUUGACGGGUAGCCGGCCUGGGAGGGUGACCGGCCACAUUGGGACUGAGAUACGGCCCAGACUCCUACGGGAGGCAGCAGUGGGGAAUAUUGCACAAUGGGCGGAAGCCUGAUGCAGCCACGCCGCGUGCGGGAUGACGGCCUUCCGGUUGUAAACCGCUUUCGCCUGUGACGAAGCGUGAGUGACGGUAAUGGGUAAAGAAGCACCGGCUAACUACGUG
rnacentral:rRNA from 1 species